GCACUGUCCUGGGACGACAGAUAACUGUGAAGUGGAUUAGAAGAAACUCUCUUGGGCAGAUAGACCACAAAAUGGCAGAGUUCUCUAUUCUUGGUAAAACUGCUAGCUUGGACUUCUGGAGGGCAGAAGUUGAAAUGUUCAGGAACUGCUCAGGGAGAGUCCCUUGGGAUGCAGUCAUGAAGGGCAGAGGGGUGGAGGAAGUCUGGAUGCUCCUCAAGAAGGAAAACUUCAAGGAACAGGAGCAGGGUGUCUCCGUGUGCAGUGAGAUGAGUCGGCAGGGAGGAAGACCAGCAUGGCUGAACAGGGAUCUUUUGGUUCCGUUUCUUCAAUCUACUUUGGAAAUGAGGCCUUUGGAACAAAACAUAUUUCAGCAAUGAGCAUUGGUCAAAGGGAGCAGAACAUAAUUUAGGUCCAAAGGACUGGUGAAGUGAUCUUCCACAACACUUUUCCUCAAGAAGGGGAAGAGGAAGACGUCUUUUCUCUCACUAUGUGAUUUUCUUUGCAAUAAUGGAGGAAUCAUAGAAUCAUUAAGGUUGGAUAAGACCUUCAAGAUCAUCUUGCAUGAAGUUGCGGUGGCCAAAUAGCCUUCCAUUUAUUAAAAGCUUAUAAUUUCACUUUGCAGAGAGUGCCUACAUUUGUGAGAUAGCUUUUCACAUGUGCUGUAUCGAUUGUGGUAUCUGUACCAAGUGAAGCAUUGUUAUUAAACUUCUUUUUUCCCUUAACCUUUUGCCAUGAAAGGUCAAAAUAUCUUAAUUCUGAGGCAACGGUCAUGCCGAUGAGUGGCUUGCUCUUUUGCCCAUAUAUCUUACCCUUUUUCCCCCUUAAUAAUCUACCUAUUCAGUGAUUUGAAAAUAAUUGAUAAAGUCCUAUGCCAAGUUUUCAGUCCAAUGCACUUGCUUGCAGUUAUUUUGGUUGGGUAUGCAGGAGGGAGAAUUGCAAUAUCUGUGACAUCAAAUGUCAGUUUGCUUCUGUGAGGCUUCACCCAGAAUAGAUGCUCUUCACAAUAACAAUGAAAAGCCCUUGGUCCUGUCCCAUGGACAUAAAUAGCAGAGGCCCAGCCAGACGGUUUUGCACGUGGGAAGCUAUUUCUUUUCAAAAGUUUGGGAAUGCAACGGUCUGGCUAGCAAUGGGCUCACUCCCUUUUCAACCUGAUGCAUUGUGGCAGUUGGGUAUUGGGAAAAUUCUUUCACAAGAGCAGAACAAGAAAGCUGCUGAGAGCUGGGAGAGGGUGCAGUACAUAUUUGUUUGCAUCACAGCUUUUUGGCCAUCCUUGCAAAUGUGAGGUGAGUCUUCUGGCCUAGGGCAGGGAGCUGUCCCUGCCUGCCUCCCAGAUAUGUUGUCUUUUCAAAUAGAAUCAUAGAAUCAUAAAGCUUGGAAAAGACCUCCAAGAUCAUCUGGUUCAACCGUUACCCUGCUACUGAUGUAAACUACUAAACCAUGUCCCUAAGCACCACGUCCAACCUUUCCUUGAACACCCCCAGGGAUGGUGACUCCACCACCUCCCUGGACAACCCAUUCCAAUGCCUUACCGCUCUUUCUGAGAAGAAAUGUCUCCUAAUUUCCAACCUGAACCUCCCCUGGGUAGUUAGGUAGUGCCUGAGCCUUUGAAAUUACGUAUAAACAGCUAUUCCCACAAGCUGACCAUUCUGCUGGCACAGUCAGGAAAUAGCAAGGAAGUUCUCACUGGGCUGUUUUCAGAACAAAAAACCCCAAAAAUGUUUUAUUCUCCCUUAUUUUAUGUUACCAAGCAGGAGAUCACAUCUAUCCUGAGCUAAAAAAACAAAAGUAGUUUUUGUAUAAUACUUCUUUAGUCUUCUGUUUUGCUUACAAGUGAGUAUGAUUUAGAGGUAAAGGAAUAAGAGGCAGUAUUAUUUCUCAAAUAGUUUAGGCUUAAAUUCAUAAAAUUUAACAAAUGAAUAAUUCACUGAAUAUAUUUGUCAAUUAUUUAUCCACCUCUGUAUGCUGAAUAAAUAUAGCCUGAUGAGCUCAAGAGAAUCAGUGCCUUUCUAAUGACAUCACCAUGUUUUGGAUCAGGCCUUGCAAUGAAAAAAACAACAUUGACAAAUAAUUUAUUUGAAGCAAUUCCAUAAAAUCUUGACAAGUUGUUCUCAA